ensembl:lncRNA
GCAAAACAAAGGUUUGUUAAAGGAAGGGCUGCAUCUCAACGAGCACUGACUCCUGAAGAGAGAUCCAAUUACAGCUGAUCAGCAACACCUGUGACACCUGCAGGAUGGGUAUAUGUAACCUGCCACAUGGCUCAAAUUGCGUUUUCUGUUGGUGACUGAAGUAAUGGCAGCUUUUUGGGCCUUGCUUGUUUCUGUGCUGACUGUCUGGCUUACCAAAGGCGAUGGUUUGCCGGUUGGUGACACAAAUUAAAUGAGUAGUAAUGGGCUACAGAGGACAAUGAGAGAUCUGUCUCUUAAUGACCCCUCCAUAAAGAAGGCCCUUACGCGUCACCAUUCCCAUGAGUCUGUCAUCCUGCGGAAGUCGAAAGAAGUCCAACUGGAAACCAAUGAAGUCGAAGUCAAGGCAUCAGCUGUCUACCUGAAAGUUGCGCAGAACGUCAGGGGCGGCAACAACGGCACCCUGGGCGACGACGGCCCGAGCGGCAACAACGGCACCCUGGGCGACGACGGCCCGAGCGGCAACAACGGCACCCUUUUACUGCACUGAUACUCAACUAAUAACUGCUUUUAGCACUGCUUUAAAUAAAGCUUUUUUCUAAAUUUAGUGUUUGAUAUUUCUCUUUGGGGGGGUGGAUAUUGAUCGAUGGUAACCUGUGAGGCAAGCACAGAUUGUCGGUAAAAAGCUGAACUGGUGACUUUAAUAAAUGACACA